CCGGAAAAGAAAAUCCUAGAUGGAUAUGGAUAUGAGAUUUUCAGAACUUUCUCACACCUGUGUAACUCAAUAUUUCUAUUUUUCUCUGAUGUACAGAGUAUAAGCCUAAAUAACCCUAACCCCAAUGAUCAAUACAUGUAACAUUCCUGUCUGCCUACUCAACAAGUUUUGACCAGAUGUCCUUCCGUAUUUCUACGUGCUGUGGCCUUUCUGUUAGUGACCACCUGGUGUAUUGACAUUGUCCCUGACACCGAUGGGAUGUCUGUUGGCAUGUUACAGUAUGCAUCCCCAAUUUUCUAGGUUUCCACAUGAAAGAGCUUCACUGUGGCAGUUGUCAGUAGCACCCGGUAGAGUGUGGUGGCAUCAGGAAUGUCAUACCCUUGACUCACAAGCUGAUCUGCCAGUCUUUUUAACACUCCCCCAACACCAUCAGGAGCUCCCUUUCUUCUCGCUUCAAAGAAAUUCCAGGUGUCACUCUCAAAGCCUCUCUUGCUCAAUUUAGGACAGGAAGACCCCUCUGCCUGGAUUAGAAAAGUACAAGGGCCGGCACUGAAGAAGUGGACAACAGACACAUAUGAAUGAUGAGCUCGUAUGUAGUCCAGUACUGGCUCAAGAUGUUGCCAGAUUGCUGGAGGACCCUUUUGAUUGGAUUGUGAGAUGGUGCAGAGGCAGAGAGGGCUUACAUCUUCACAAACAUAUAACACAUCUGUGUGCAUUGUUGCCUGUUGGUGCGAGGCACCAAAAUGCACAGCCUGGAUCUCAGCACUGAACAUGCAUGAGUAGUUUUCUGAGAAAUCCACAUGUAUAAUGCAUUUGUGCGAAGACAGACUUCUCCUUAGUUCUCUGGAGAAUGUGAAUUGCUGCUUGAUGUUGAACACAGGCUUCUUGAACUUAUGCAGCAAACAAGUGAAAUGCUCAAAAAGCCCACGACCAACCCAGUCACAAGGUCGAGUGGUUCCCGUGCCAGCCCCCAUCUAGAAGGUGGAGCUCCUAGACCGUCAGCUUCAGGUCACCAUAGACUGGGCCGGUGCUCCGCCUCCACGUCAUGUCACAACUCUGGUCAUAGUUGACUCCAUCAUCAGGAACAAAGUCUGGAAUAACUUGUGUCCCAGGUGCCACUGUUCGUGAUUUAGAAGAUAAAGCCAUCAAGAUCCUCGCAAACCAGCUGGACAUUACCAAGGUCAUUUUACACAGAUCUGUGAGGCACAUGUACGUGUCCGGUCCCAUCCCCUCCUGUGACUGUGGUGUUGGGCAUUUCAGCAGGCUACUGUCUCCGGACACCUGGAACUCAUCAGCCUGCGCUGCCUACGGUGUGUCCUACAUUGACAACUUCAACCUCUUCUGAGAACGCAGACAGUUAUUUAGAGGAGACGGCAUACAUCCAAACUGGUUGGGGGCAAAACUACUUUCAGCAAAUAUUUUGUUUUCUGACACCCACCCUGGUGCUCUGCUAACAGGUAGCAAAAACACUUCCACUAGCUCUGACUAGUCCCCCACUAUUUACAUCUCCAGGUUCCUAGCACCAGCCUGAUUGGUUCCCCAUGCUUCUGUUCCGUUGUUCAUGAGGAGCCAGGACAAACAACCAUGUAUAUUCUCCCACUAAAGACAGUUCUACAAUCUACAAUCAGUCAAUUGUACAUACCAUUCCCCAUUAUUUAUAUCUUAUAUCUCUUUAUAUCUGGCUGCUUAGCUAGGCAUAGAAGUCGACCUCAGCAUCUCUUUCAAAAAUGUAAUUUAUCCUCCUGUGUAUAUUGUGCCCUCUUGUCUGCCCUAAAGACCAAUAUGUCUGCAGAUUUGACUGUAGACAAUUAUCAUAUCUGUCCAAAAGAGGGAGUCCCCAAUGCCUCAACUUCCCCUGACUGCAAAUUUUCUUUUAGUUUGAUAACACAAAGCUCUGGUUAGGUUAAAAGCAUACAAAAACACUGGUGCAGAUAAUCUUGACCCUUAUAUUCUUCAUCUGAGUGCCUCCUUAAUCUGUCCACAUUUAGCACAUAUUUUUAACCAAGCCUAUAUAACAGGCAUGAUUCCAGAUUCGUGGAAAAGCGCCUUAGUAGUUCCCUUACACAAAAUUGGUGAUGUCUCCGAUUUUCACAACUACUGUCCAAUAUCUAAACUUCCUUUCUUUCUACAACCACAACAGUCUGGUUUUUGCCUGUGUCACAGCACAAUAGCAGCUGCAGUCUCAGUCAUUGAUAGCAUCAUCUCCUCUCUGGAUAAAAAAUAAGGUUGUACUGCUCUCUUCAUUGACCUCUCAAAAGCAUUUGAUACUGUUGAUCAUAAAAUUCUACUUCAUAAACUAAAGUUUAUAGAUUGAAAUGAAGCCAUGCUGCUGUUGCUGAUAGUACUCAGUCAAGCCCUCUUGCCAUCAGAAACGGGUUGCCACAGGGGUCAAUCCUUUUUCCACUGCUGUUUACAUUAUACAUAAAUAACAUCAUUCUACCUAAUCAAUACUUCAAUGUCCAUAUUUUUGCAGAUGAUACAGUUUUAUAUACCCCAGGCUCCAGCCCAGCCCAGGCCCUGACUCGUCUUCAGUCUGCCUUUGAUGCAUUCCAAUUAUCACAUUAAAUGCUGAAAGAC